UACGUAGGGUGCGAGCGUUGUCCGGAAUUACUGGGCGUAAAGAGCUCGUAGGUGGUUUGUCGCGUUGUCCGUGAAAACUCACAACUCAAUUGUGGGCGUGCGGGCGAUACGGGCAGGCUGGAGUACUGCAGGGGAGACUGGAAUUCCUGGUGUAGCGGUGGAAUGCGCAGAUAUCAGGAGGAACACCGGUGGCGAAGGCGGGUCUCUGGGCAGUAACUGACGCUGAGGAGCGAAAGCAUGGGGAGCGAACAGG
rnacentral:rRNA from 1 species